CACCACAUCGUCAACAAAAAAAGAAAUUAAGACCGAAUAAUUGUCUCAAAACAGUGAAGGCCAUCAAAUUCAGGCGCGAAUCUGGACUUCCUUUGGUGACUAUCUUCCAAUUUCUUGGAUUCUCGUGACGAAUUAUUUAUUUGUUCGGCCUUCUUCACCCCUUCAAUUUUGGUAGAAGCCAUUUGCCCCUGUUUCUGCUGCACAUCUUCAUUAGGAGUAGACAAAGAAACGCCAAUUUUGUGGCCCAAAGACUCGGCACAGAAUGCAUCAAAAGAAGUGAAAAUUGACGUCAACAUUGUAGAAUUUUACGGUUAAAGGGAUUUUGAGGGAAUUAGUUUUCUUUCUGUUUGUGUAGAAUGAAGGAAGAGAGGUAUUUAUAGGUGGAGAUGAGGAAAUAUGGAAAGCGUGUGGAAGUCAGAGUCAAG
rnacentral:lncRNA from 1 species